GAAGGGAGCUUGCUCCCGGAUGUUAGCGGCGGACGGGUGAGUAACACGUGGGUAACCUGCCUGUAAGACUGGGAUAACUCCGGGAAACCGGAGCUAAUACCGGAUAGUUCCUUGAACCGCAUGGUUCAAGGAUGAAAGACGGUUUCGGCUGUCACUUACAGAUGGACCCGCGGCGCAUUAGCUAGUUGGUGGGGUAAUGGCUCACCAAGGCGACGAUGCGUAGCCGACCUGAGAGGGUGAUCGGCCACACUGGGACUGAGACACGGCCCAGACUCCUACGGGAGGCAGCAGUAGGGAAUCUUCCGCAAUGGACGAAAGUCUGACGGAGCAACGCCGCGUGAGUGAUGAAGGUUUUCGGAUCGUAAAGCUCUGUUGUUAGGGAAGAACAAGUGCGAGAGUAACUGCUCGCACCUUGACGGUACCUAACCAGAAAGCCACGGCUAACUACGUGCCAGCAGCCGCGGUAAUACGUAGGUGGCAAGCGUUGUCCGGAAUUAUUGGGCGUAAAGGGCUCGCAGGCGGUUUCUUAAGUCUGAUGUGAAAGCCCCCGGCUCAACCGGGGAGGGUCAUUG
rnacentral:rRNA from 1 species